rnacentral:rRNA from 1 species
ACAAGCUUAACCAUUGGAUCACUUGGUUUUCCGUUCGAUAAAGAAAGUAGCUAGCUACUUUAAUUAACAAGACUUGCAAAUCACUUGACUGUUAAGGUUUUGAAUGCAAAUGGCACCAAGAGUUUUUAACUUUUGGUAUAUUUGAUAGAGUUUCA